rnacentral:RNase_P_RNA from 1 species
UGAGUCGGACAGAUGGUCGCUGCUGCAGGUGCCGAAAGGCCGCAGGAGAGGAAAGUCCGGGCUUCACAGGGCAGGAUGCCAGAUAACGUCUGGUGGAGGCGACUCCCAGGACAGUGCAACAGAAAUGUACCGCGUAAGCAAUGAGUCCACACGGUCCGGGUUUUGGGCGGAUGUGCAGGGCAGACUUGUCUGCAGCUGCACAGAUGCACAAAAGUCGGAGUGCGCGGCGAAUGCCGCGUAUCUCGCGCACUUUGUGCGCGAGAUACCGUGUGGACAUCCACAAAGCCUCGAGCGCACUUUGUGCGCGAGAUACCGUGUGGACAUCCAUAAAGAUGUCAGACGCACUUUGUGCGUGUGGACAUCCAGCGGGAGGUCCCCGGACCUUUGACCGCGCUUACGUAAGGGUGGAAGGGCAGUGUAAGAGACUACCGCCUGGGUGGUAACACGCAGGGCACAUGUAAACC